ACUAUCGCCCUUGCGUCCGGUGCCCCGCCAACGCGGGGUGAAAAGGGAAUCCCGUGCGAACCGGGAGCGGACCCGCCGCCGUGAGCCCCGCGAAUAGUCAGCCCCCAAGCGCGCCACUGGAAGAAUGCUUCCGGGAAGGCCGGGGCCGAUGGGGUGAGCCGGAAGACCUGCCGGACACGUGUCAUGGCU
rnacentral:ncRNA from 2 species